rnacentral:rRNA from 1 species
UGGGGAAUUUUGGACAAUGGGGGAAACCCUGAUCCAGCCAUCCCGCGUGUGCGAUGAAGGCCUUCGGGUUGUAAAGCACUUUUGGCAGGAAAGAAACGUCAUGGGUUAAUACCCCGUGAAACUGACGGUACCUGCAGAAUAAGCACCGGCUAACUACGUGCCAGCAGCCGCGGUAAUACGUAGGGUGCAAGCGUUAAUCGGAAUUACUGGGCGUAAAGCGUGCGCAGGCGGUUCGGAAAGAAAGAUGUGAAAUCCCAGAGCUCAACUUUGGAACUGCAUUUUUAACUACCGGGCUAGAGUGUGUCAGAGGGAGGGUGAAUUCCGCGUGUAGCAGUGAAAUGCGUAGAUAUGCGGAGGAACACCGAUGGCGAAGGCAGCCUCCUGGGAUAACACUGACGCUCAUGCACGAAAGCGUGGGGAGCAAACAGG